GCGGAGGCGGGCGGAUCCCGGCGGCAGCUCCUCCUGCGGGCGGAUGGCCCUGGGAGCGGAACCGGCGGCGGGAGCGGCCGCGUGGGUGCGGGACGGGCCCGGGGGCAGGUCUGAGCCUCAACCCAGGACAUUCCAGCAGUCCAGAGCUGGGAUCCAGACACAGAGCCUGAUCCUACCUGGGGCUGCCCUUGGAUCCAGCUGCUGCCAGGCUCCUCUCAGGCAUUUGGAAAGCUGGGGCAUCCAUCCUGCACCCCAUGACCCAACAGGAGUGGCUUCCCCAUAAACCUUGUCUGCAGCUUCCUGGGGAGCUGGGAAUGCACAGCACAGGUGUCACCCACUGCUGGGGAGCUGGGAAUGCACAGCACAGGGUGUCACCCACUCCUGGGGAGCUGGGAAUGCACAGCACAGGGUGUCACCCACUCCUGGGGUUCUGCCAGAUGAGUCCCCAGGGCAGAACUGGGCAUUGCUCUUGCUCCAAGGACAAACUGUGCCAUGGCUCAAAUCCCUCUGAUCCUGGCAGCUCUUGAAUCCACUCUGCACCCCUGUGAAGCUUUCCCUUGCAGUCACGCCCUCUUAAAUUUGGGGGUUUGUGCUUCAUGUGCACUCCACCUGCACCUUGGUGUGCUUUGGGAUCCACCUGCACCCUCAGCGGCUCUGAGGUGCCCUGGCUUUUGCUGGGGACAGCAGGAAAGCAGAGGGGGCUUGGGGAAGGAGCCCCCAGUGAGAAAUGGGGAGCAGGAGCUUCUGUGGCUGUGCCAGAAAGCUGGGAGGGCUCUUGCCAAAGGCCUGAUGGUACAGGAGAGCAGCAGAAGCCUUCCAGGUGGGAAACAGCUUGGCCAUUCUAUGGGGAAGCUGGGCCCUGGCACCAGAGCAUCAGGUGCAGGGGCUGAGGGAAGCAGGUGGAGCUGCUCUUUCAUGGAUCCUGCUCCACAGGAUCUGACAAUGGCCAUCCCAUUUAAUCUCAAAAAUCAUCCAAAAGAGGCCCCAGAGGAGAUUUAGGUGAAAAAUCGUGGAUUAUUUCAGAAAACAACACUUGCACCUGGAGCAAUCCCAAAGGUACCUGUAGGCAGGUGGCACACAGGUGUGAUGGGGUUGGCUGGGAUCAGGCCAGGAAUUAGAGCCUGAUUUUGGGGAUUUACAGCAGGAUUUCUCCUCUGAUUCCAAUUCCCAGUGUUGUGCUGGUACCAGGUGUUCUGCUGGUGGGUCUGGGACCCUCAAACUGGGAUCUGGGACCUCUAAACGGGAUUGGGUCCCUCAAAUAGGGGAUUCAGGUCCUGGACUCCUAAACUGAGGUCAGAAACCCUCAAACUGUAAUCUGGGUUCUUUAAACUGGGUCUGGGAUUCUCAAGAUAAGAUCUGGUACCCCCAAACUGAGGUCUGCAGACCUCCAGCAGGAUCUGGGAUCCUCACACUGGGGUCUCAGCUCUCUAAACUGGGACCUGGGCCUCUGAAACUGGGCUCUGGAAUCCUCAAACUGGGUCUGACUGCCCCGGCCCCCCCCUCCUGACACACCUGGAGUUUGGGCCGCUCAAAAUGGGGUUUGGGAUCCUCCAACUGGGUGUGGGACCCACAAACUGAGAUCUGGGACCCCUAAACUGGGUCUGGGCCCUUUCAACUCUUGUCCCAACUCUGGGUUCAUUGCCCAGGUGCCAAUUCCCUCCCCAAGCCAAGGCAUUUCUAUUUUUCAUUCCCGUUUCUCAGGAGGAAGAUGGGGAUUUUUCACAAAGGGCCGAUCCAGGUCUUGCCCAGUAGAACUGACCCUGGUCCAGAGUAGGGGGUCAAUGGGUCAGUGGUCACAGCCCCCCUUUUGUUGCUUAGAAAGUGGCUGGUUUUGCACUCAGUGGUGGAUUUUGAGGGGGACACCGUGGGAAAAAAUGGCAGGGGACAUGUGAGGGAGGUGAGGUAGGGGUUUAUUUGGGAGUACAAAGAGAAAAGGAGGAUGGGGAGACCUCAGGGUGGAGUUCUGGGCUCACCUUAAGGGGGGGAGGUGAGUGGGAGGAGCCCACGAUGAAGAUUUGGGAUCCUCAGGGUGGCCUUUGUGGGGUCUCAGGGGGGAUUGGGAGGUCCCAGGGUGGAUUUUUUGCGUCCCAGAGUUGAUUGAGGAGGUUCCCAGACAGAUUUUGGGGUCCCAGACGGAUUUUGUGGGUGCCAAGGUGGAUUUUGGAGUCCCGGGCUGUGGGGAGGUCUCGGGCAUUG